rnacentral:rRNA from 1 species
GACGAACGCUGGCGGCGUGCUUAACACAUGCAAGUCGAACGGAAAGGCCCUGCUUUUGUGUGGUGCUCGAGGGGCGAACGGGUGAGUAACACGUGAGUAACCUUCCCUGUACUUUGGGAUAACUUCAGGAAACUGGUGCUAAUACCUGAUAGGAGCUCCUGCUGCAUGGUGGGGUUUGGAAAGUUUCGGCGGUUGUGGAUGGACUCGCGGCUUAUCAGCUUGUGGGUGGGGUAGUGGCUUACCAAGGCUUUGGCGGGUAGCCGGCCUGAGAGGGUGACCGGCCACAUUGGGACUGCGAUACGGCGCAGACUCCUACGGGAGGCAGCAGUGGGGAAUAUUGCACAAUGGGGGGAAGCCUGAUGCAGCAACGCCGCGUGCGGGAUGAAGGCUUUCGGGUUGUAAACCGCUUUCGCCUGUGACGAAGCGUGAGUGACGGUAAUGGGUAAAGAAGCACCGGCUAACUACGUG